UGGGGAAUAUUGGACAAUGGGCGAAAGCCUGAUCCAGCCAUGCCGCGUGUGUGAAGAAGGUCUUCGGAUUGUAAAGCACUUUAAGUUGGGAGGAAGGGCAUUAACCUAAUACGUUAGUGUUUUGACGUUACCGACAGAAUAAGCACCGGCUAACUCUGUGCCAGCAGCCGCGGUAAUACAGAGGGUGCAAGCGUUAAUCGGAAUUACUGGGCGUAAAGCGCGCGUAGGUGGUUUUUUAAGUUGGAUGUGAAAUCCCCGGGCUCAACCUGGGAACUGCAUUCAAAACUGACUGACUAGAGUAUGGUAGAGGGUGGUGGAAUUUCCUGUGUAGCGGUGAAAUGCGUAGAUAUAGGAAGGAACACCAGUGGCGAAGGCGACCACCUGGACUAAUACUGACACUGAGGUGCGAAAGCGUGGGGAGCAAACA
rnacentral:rRNA from 1 species